GGGAGCGCGCGAGGCUGGGAACACUGUGGGGGGAGGGAAUCAGGGAGGAGCCGAAGGAGAAACAAGAUGCUUGAACAUUUGUAGACCGAAACGACCCUCUUAGAGGAGUCCGUCGGGAAAGCUGUGGGCUGAUCCUCCCCGGGGACUCGUUCAGAUACACGGGAGCUCAGAGAGUGGACAACUCCGCAGAACGUAGCACCGCGACUGAGCCUCUUUCACGCGGGAACCUCUGCCGGAGGGGCUCCAACAUGGCAACCCAAGACCCACAAACUCUGGUACACACCGAUACUCAGACAAGGACUAGGCUGGUCUUGACUUCACCAUGGAGCCCAGGCUGACUCUACACCCAUGGCCAUCCUGCGUAAGCCAGAAAGGAUGCUUCAGUUUCUCAGAAGCCCAGCUCAUCCUGGCUGCACGCACUUCGUGAGAGACACUUUCCAUCUCUUGGGUACUCAGUAAACUAACAGGCACUUUCUAAUUUUA